rnacentral:ncRNA from 1 species
CGUAUGGUGUCUGACUGCUUUGAUACUCGCAAGAGAUAUUUGAGUAAGAAUUCAGAUAGCGAUACGGACCAAUAAAAGGU